CACGUAGGGGGCGAGCGUUGUCCGGAUUUAUUGGGCGUAAGGAGCUCGUAGGCGGUGUGUCGCGUCGGCCGUGAAAACCUGCAGCUUAACUGUGGGCUUGCGGUCGAUACGGGCAUCACUGGAGUUCGGCAGGGGAGACUGGAAUUCCUGGUGUAGCGGUGAAAUGCGCAGAUAUCAGGAGGAACACCGGUGGCGAAGGCGGGUCUCUGGGCCGAUACUGACGCUGAGGAGCGAAAGCGUGGGGAGCGAACAGG
rnacentral:rRNA from 1 species